UUAAAAAAAAAAAGAGUAAAAAAAAAUAAAAAUAUGUUAUUUUGAGGACGCUCAAUGAUUUAUUGUGACGCCGUCCAAUAUUAGAGAAGAUUGCCGGAGGCGGACCUCAGGGUUUCGACAAUUGACCAAUAUUGAACCCGCCUCACAGUCAAAAAGAAAUUAAAUGCACGUUUAGAAAUUGAAUUAUACUUUAAUGGCCAUUUUAAUCCUAAGUUUGAAUAUCAAAGAGACCCAUUCCAACUCAUUUUAAAAUACUUGUAUGACUGAUUUAAUUUUCAAGCAAG
rnacentral:misc_RNA from 1 species